GAUGAACACUGGCGGCGUGCCUAAUACAUGCAAGUCGAGCGAAUGGAUUAAGGGCUUGCUCUUAUGAAGUUAGCGGCGGACGGGUGAGUAACACGUGGGUAACCUGCCCAUAAGACUGGGAUAACUCCGGGAAACCGGGGCUAAUACCGGAUAACAUUUUGAACCGCAUGGUUCGAAAUUGAAAGGCGGCUUCGGCUGUCACUUAUGGAUGGACCCGCGUCGCAUUAGCUAGUUGGUGAGGUAACGGCUCACCAAGGCAACGAUGCGUAGCCGACCUGAGAGGGUGAUCGGCCACACUGGGACUGAGACACGGCCCAGACUCCUACGGGAGGCAGCAGUAGGGAAUCUUCCGCAAUGGACGAAAGUCUGACGGAGCAACGCCGCGUGAGUGAUGAAGGCUUUCGAGUCGUAAAACUCUGUUGUUAGGGAAGAACAAGUGCUAGUUGAAUAAGCUGGCACCUUGACGGUACCUAACCAGAAAGCCACGGCUAACUACGUGCCAGCCGCCGCCGAA
rnacentral:rRNA from 1 species